UAAUAGAGCCAAGACUAUUCCCUGUUAAA
rnacentral:piRNA from 1 species